rnacentral:rRNA from 1 species
GGUCCCCGACAUUGGGAACUGACGACACGGUCCCAAACGUCCUACGGAAGGCAGCAG